AUGCAUGAUUUGGUGCACGAUCUAGCAAGAUUGGUCAUGGUUGAUGAAAUAUUUAUUGCUAGCAAACAAGGUAACACUGGGGGAAGCUUCUGCCACUUUGCAUUGCUCAAUGAUUGUCGCAGGCCAUUGAAAUCAUCCAAGUUAAGGGCACUCCGUUUCAUGGAGUGUGUUCAAACUGAAGUUCAUGGUGAUUCCUUUUCACCUGCAAAGUCUAUGCGUGUCCUGGAUUUAAGCGAGUGCUCCAUACUUAAGUUGUCAGAUUCUAUUGGUGUAUUGAAGCAGCUGAGAUAUCUUAAUGCUCCAAGAGUCCAAGAUGCAAAGAUUCCAGAUAGUAUCACCAAGCUCUCAAAAUUGAUUUACCUGAACCUUCAUGGCUCUCCCAAAAUCUUAGCACUACCAGAGUCAAUUGGAGACAUUAAGGGUCUAAUGUAUCUUGAUCUGUCAGGUUGUUCAGGAAUUGCCAAACUGCCGAAAUCUUUUGAGAGGCUACAAGAAUUGGUGCAUUUAGAUUUGUCAAUGUGUUGCAUCCGGAAGCUCCCUGAAGCUUUGGGCAGAUUCAUUAAACUAAAGUACUUAAACUUAUCACGUUGUCAGGAAAUAACAGAAUUGCCAAUCGGAUUUGGGAGUCUAAAAAAUUUGGUGCAUCUUGAUUUAUCAAGCUGCUCUGAGGUUGCUUCUAACGAUCUAGCCUUCGUUGGUCUUACUAAUCUGCAAUAUCUGAAUUUAAAAUGUACAUGUUUCACAUCGCCGUCGCUAUAUGGUCUGACCAAACUCCGGUAUUUAAAUCUAUCUGCACUCUAUAGCCAAAGACACCAUCAAGAUAUCUUUGACAUGCUCUUCGAUUCUAUAACCAUUAAUCAAGCUGAUCUAGAGCAUAUGGAUUUGUCUGAUAAUUGUGCUAUUAAUGUUAUACCUAUAAGUCUUUAUAGACUAAAAAAGCUGCAUACGUUGGACCUCUCAGGAUGUGUAUAUCUUAAGGAGAUAGAAGAAAGCAAACACACAAUUAGUAGCUUGAAGUUUCUGUAUUUAAGAGGUUGUGUCAAUCUUCAGAGAAUGCCUCAGCUUGGUGGCAGUAUAGUAUCAUUACCGCAGUUUGGGGUGCGUGUUGCUACUGAUGAAUCUAGCAGUAAUCUUGUCCUGCUACAACCCACAGACCCUAUUGAGCUGCAUAUAACUGAACUUGAAAAUGCAAAGUCCGCAGGAGAGGCACACAGUAUAAAAUUAAUGGAAAAGCGCAGUCUUGAGGACUUGGAACUGGUGUGGACUCGAGAUGCUGAGAGAUUUGUGGAUGACAUGAUUUUGUUGGAAGAACUAAUGCCACCAUGCACGUUGAAGAGGUUGGAGAUACGUGGUUACAAUAGUGUGAGCUUACCGGCCUGGCUAGUGGGCCAACUACCAAACCUAGAAUUACUAGUUCUGCGUGAUAUGGCAAACCUGGAAGAGUGGAACACGUCAUACUCGUGUGCUGAGGUGCACGUGAUUCAAACAUUGGAAAUACAUAACUGCCCCAUGUUAAGGAUGAAACCACCUCUGCCUAAAGCUAAAUCCUGGAAGAUAAGCGACAGUGAUAAUGUGUUAUCAUCGUGGAAUCACUGCACUGUGUCACACGCUGGUGCUUCAUCCUGUUCUCCAAUAACUACUACGCUAUCAGUUCAAAGAUACAGGGGGCCUCAUCAAUGGAGACUGCUUCAACACUUCCCUAGACUCUCUUCUUUGUCUGUCAUAAGGGGUGAUCUAAACAGCUCACCAGAGAUCAUUGGGCAUCUAUCCUCUUUGAGGACAAUAUGCCUAAGUCAGGUAGUCAUAGAAGAACUGCCAAAAUGGUUGGGUGAGCUCACAUCUCUACAUAAUCUGGAACUAAGGUUUAUCAAUGGUUUAGAGGAGUUCAAUGAGAGCAUGAGGCAACUCACAAUGCUACAGUCACUAAAAUUGAUCAGUUGCAAGAGCUUAUCACUGCCACACUGGUUAGGUGAAUUGACUUAUCUCAAGGAACUUAGCAUAGAUGACAAUAGAGUAUUGAGGUCUUUGCCGGCAAGCUUACAACAAAACAGCAGCAUCCAGAAAAUACAGAUCUCUGACUGCCCUGAAUUAGAGGACGUGAUUGUUGAAUCACAGGAGGGAGCGAUGAAGCUGACUCACAGCCAAGAAAGUGAGUGUGUCCUGCCCACCUCUCUGAGGGAACUUAAGAUCAGUCACUGUCAGGGUAUCAAGUCCUUGCCCGAGGGAAUACAGCAACUCACCAACCUCCAAAGUCUAGUCAUUAGUUCGUGCCCUGAACUAAGGCAAUGGUGU
rnacentral:rRNA from 1 species